GGGGCUGAUCGGUUUCGACAGCGCCUGCGAAGCUGCGAGAAGCGGGCCGAGGAUGCAGGGUUAUCUCGUAAACGAUCUCUGCGAACCAAUAGUUGCCGAUGCAAAGCGCAACGACUUCGCCCUCGCUGCCUAAGCGAGCCUGAAGUCCGUCAGACCGUAGGCGAUCCCGCUACGGCUUAGGUGUCUGUGACAAAGGUCGGAGCCGAGCAGAACGUCUCUACAGACUGCGCCCGGAGAAGACGCAGUAUCCCAGCGUUGGACGGGGGUUCGAUUCCCCCCAGCUCCACAA
rnacentral:tmRNA from 1 species